CAUCCAUUGCGCUAGUGAGCCUAUUCAUUCUUUGUCUAAUAAGGUGCUUCUUUGUCGCGGCUGGUGUCCCGGUUGAUUUGUGCUGCGUACCUAUUUUGUAGGUAUUCGGUUGGCUAAAAUGUCCCUCUUCCGCCUCGUGCUGCGCCUCUACGGGUGCGGCGUGGGGUGGACCUGAAAGCGUUCGUCGCGAUCCACAUUCCGCUCAAGUACUGAUGUACGUGCUCGGGAUGUUGGCCCGUGUCGGCAUGCUCGAUCUCUCGGAUGCGGAACACUGAGCGGGUAUGAAGCCGCCAGGCCUCUAUUUGCCCCAAAAACAAGCGUUCUACGCUUCUCGCGAACGACCGCCGCUACCGUUAUGUGCGGGUCCUUGCGGCUCGUGUCAUGCGGUAGUGGCGUCGAUGAGGAAUGC
rnacentral:misc_RNA from 1 species